GAUGAACGCUGGCGGCGUGCCUAAUACAUGCAAGUCGAGCGAACAGACGAGGAGCUUGCUCCUCUGACGUUAGCGGCGGACGGGUGAGUAACACGUGGAUAACCUACCUAUAAGACUGGGAUAACUUCGGGAAACCGGAGCUAAUACCGGAUAAUAUAUUGAACCGCAUGGUUCAAUAGUGAAAGACGGUUUUGCUGUCACUUAUAGAUGGAUCCGCGCCGCAUUAGCUAGUUGGUAAGGUAACGGCUUACCAAGGCAACGAUGCGUAGCCGACCUGAGAGGGUGAUCGGCCACACUGGAACUGAGACACGGGCCAGACUCCUACGGGAGGCAGCAUUAGGGAAUCUUCCGCAAUGGGCGAAAGCUUGACGGAGCAACGCCGCGUGAGUGAUGAAGGUCUUCGGAUCGUAAAACUCUGUUAUUAGGGAAGAACAAAUGUGUAAGUAACUAUGCACGUCUUGACGGUACCUAAGCAGAAAGCCACGGCUAACUACGU
rnacentral:rRNA from 1 species